CCACCGGCCCACUAAGGCUUCCUUGCAGCACAGACAGCUGGAAAACCCCACGUGUUAUGUCAUAUUACGCUCAACCUUCUGCCAGACCUCAAAAAAUUCUGUGCCUUUUGUGACAAGGGGUGCUAGCACAACUGGGGAAAGCGUAGAACUACCCAGAGAGCAGUGGGUGACAUCAGAACCUCUGACUAAAUUUAACAGGCAGGACAAGGAGGAGCACUCCCAUGCCUGCUGGACUGGAAAACUUAGUAACCAAAUUGUGCGGAAAGAUCUGGUUUGCAAGCACUGGACCUCAAGGCAGACUUCAACCUUCUUGACAGCUGCUGGAAGGAAGAUGUGGUGGGAUACAGACAGUCAAGAGGAUUUGUGGAAAAGGACAAUUUCUUGGCUCAGGUAU
rnacentral:lncRNA from 1 species